GGUGAGGAACACGUAGGAACCUACCCUCUAGCGGGGGAUAACUAAGGGAAACUUUAGCUAAUACCGCGUAAUCUCGAGAGAGCAAAGAUGCCCGCAAGGGUGUCACUAGAGGAGGGGCCUGCGUCCGAUUAGCUAGUUGGUGAGGUAAGAGCUCACCAAGGCGAUGAUCGGUAACUGGUCUGAGAGGACGGCCAGUCACACUGGGACUGAGACACGGCCCAGACUCC
rnacentral:rRNA from 1 species